CCGCCAAUCACGGGACUCCAGGGGCCGUCCGGGCCCGCCGCCAAUCAGCGCUGCCGCCGAGUGGAGCGACGUUGGUUCUUCCAGCCAAUCAUGCGACUCAAGGAGAACUUCCGGCGCUGGGUUCCCGUCUCCUCCAAUCAAUGGCCUUUGGAGGCGGGCCGGCGGCCGUUCAAUCCCCUCCCCUUCCCCCCUUCUGCUCUUGGAUAGGGUUUUUUUAAAAUGCUUUUAAAGGAGGCGUUGCUCCGACCACGUUGAGAUGGUAGUUUCCGGCGUGAGCCGCGAGCCAGUUUGACCCCAUCAGCGUGAGGCGGCGGCGUUGGCGGGGCAGCCUCGGGCAGAACCUCCCCGGGGGUGGAAGGUGGAGUCGGUAAGGCGCGGCCUGGGUCCGGGUUCCCGGGAAGGGCGCCUUCGCCCCAAGACGUGAGCUGGAGCCCCCGGAUCCCGCCAGGCCUCGGUGAGGAUGUCAGACUCCACAUUUCUUUAUCAGGCCAGCUGAACCCGUUUGUAUCUUCUCGAGGGAAACGCGAGGCUUUGGGUUCCCGUAGAGCUAUCCAGCCCUUGCCACUGUAAAUCCACCCUUUUAAACGAAGCCACCUACCGAUUUGACAGCCGCUUCCUGCUCGUCCACCGCCAGAGCCCACGAGUCGGUGGCCAUGAUCCUGGGGGCAGAGGGCGGACACGCGUGAAGACACACAAGACCACGCGACAAGCCCGGCCGGGUUCUGCCGCCAGCGCACGCACGCACGCACGUCACUCAGAACGGAAGCGCGGUCGCGCAGUGACGCCGUCACUUCCGCCGGAGCCGGACGGUAACACUGCGCCGCGCCCAGCAGCUCCGGUCUUGCCCCGCCACGAAGGAGCGUUGCUUCCCUGCAACUGCCUCGUUGUGCCGUCAAAUACUUCACGGCCUCCACACUAACUUGUCUCUGUCCUACUGAGUCUAAAACAAAGUUAAGGCCUAACCCCUGUGGGAAAAAAUACCAUAUGAUGCCAGUUUUUGACAACGUUUAAGAAAACUAUCAAAACCUUUCAAAAAACAAAACAGCUCACCAACAGCCGAGUCAAUAAUCAUCGCAACCCUAUAGGCCAAGUUAGAACUGCCCCUGUCGGUUAGCAAGGCCAUACUUCUUUAUAGUAGAAAGUCUCAUUUUUCUUGCACUGAGCAACGAUUGCUGACCUAUGGUUAGCAGCCCAAGACAUAACCCUGACGCCACCUGGGAUUCUUUUAAAAAUCUUCACUAGUCGGAUUCCACAUAGAUUGAUCCCGUGUAUCAGCCAUCCCUGCACCCUCUUCACAACUGCUUUUCUGGCAACACUUGGUCCUAAAACUUUUGGAUUGGCAAGAUUUAAUUACUUUGACCCCAAGUUACAGCCUGUUAAUCCAUUUUGACAGGCCUUCCUAUUUUUGGCCCCUUCGCCAAGCAUGACAUCAUCAGACUGGUCCUUCCUUUGAAGAGGGUCAGUGACAAAGUGCUUAGUAGAGGAUCAGUGACAAAGAGGAAAGCCCUCAAGAUGGACCGAGUCUGUGGCUGCAGCAGUAGAUUAAAGCAUUACACAGAUGGCAGCAGACCAGGUGAUGUUAUACAUUGGGUCUCCCAGUUAAGCCUGACUAGAUUAAUACCCAACAUUAUACAAUUGUGGGUUUUUUGGGUGUAUUUGUGUCUUAAUUUACCCAUUAAAUGGUGGUGUGUGUGUAUAUAAAUAUAUAUAAAUAUAAAUAUAUAUAUAUUAACUGGAUUAAUGGUUCUUGGGGGUGUAGCAGGGAAAGCUGGAGGGAACAUUAACAAUGAGUACAAGAAAAUGUACUAUAUUUGAUUGUACUAAAUGUACUAAAAUUGAUUGUGGUAAGGAUUAUACAACUCUUCUCCAUGAUUGAAUUGUACAUGUGGAUUACGUACCAAUAAAACUGUUUACAAAUAAAUGAUAAUGUAAGACAGCAUUAAGCACUUAAGAACAAAUUCUUAGGGCCCAAACUUUCUUCUUGGGGGUUAUAUAAGCAGUUUCCAAUGUUUUGCUUUUUUUUUUUUUCAUGUGAAACCUGUAACAUUUUAUUUUUAAAAAAUGAACAGUUUUAGAAUCGAUCUAAAUCUAAUUUUUCCAAAAAACACCAGAGUACAGUGUAAAGCACCUCCUCAUUAAAUACAAACUUUUGUUUUGUGAUGCACUGCAUCAACAUUUUGCAUACACCUUGAUGCAAAGAAUUUUUAAAUUGCAUCCUAUUUAAAUGAAAAAAAAAAAUACAAAACAUUGAGAAUUUAAAUUGCUACAAUUCCAACAAGACUUUCCUCGAACAAAACAAACUUUUUGUAUAUAUACAACACAUUAAGGCUUAAUUGUACCAAAAGCAAAAUUUAUAUCUAAAAAGAAAAUUUAGAUGCACAAAAAGCAAAUGUUUAAUAUGCCAAAGACAUAUUGUUUAAUGAAUUAAAUGGCAAUAUUUGGGGCAAUUUUUAAAGUUAAAAAAUGGCAUUACCAGCUUUGUACAGUAAUAUUUAGAAUAACUCAAAAGGAAAAUGAAAACCACCUUUACACCAUAUUUCCACUAAUUGUUCUGAAGAUGCUCAAUCACUCUGUUAUUUUUCCUUUGCUUUAAAAUAAAACUAUCUCAAAUCCA